GAGAUUUGAUAGUGCCUCUAUAUAAUACCACAAUAAGGACUCAAAUUGGACGAGGAGCAUCAACCUUAGGGAAUAUAUAGCAAGAGGAGGAAAAUGAAAUAGGUACCCGCACUUCUCAUGGCGCUUAUCAAGAAGAACACAAAUGCCCUGUGCUUGGUAAUUCUUCUGAUGUCUACCACUUUGUUUUCAUGCGAGGCAACCGGGAGAAACAAAGGUACAACUGCAUUGAUUGAUGUGUGCAAACGUGAUCGGUUAUGUGAGAAUCCGAUAGGAUACAAUGUUACCUUGUGUAAGGUUUCAUGCGAAUGGUCUGGCUACAGUUUCUACAACAGCUAUUGUGAGAAGGGUAAAUGCUGUUGCGCAUCCUAAGGAAUUGGACGAGGUGCCAAAACACCAUGCUUGUAAGAUAUGAUGAAUUCCAAUAAACAAUAAAAGUUAGUUUUGGCACGACCGUGCAACUUCAUGAUUUCAUCAAUAUGGAUGCUAUUCAAGGUAUUUUGAUAUAUAUUGUUUU